rnacentral:rRNA from 1 species
UGGGCGUAAGCGCGCGCAGGUGGUUUCUUAAGUCUGAUGUGAAAGCCCACGGCUCAACCGUGGAGGGUCAUUGGAAACUGGGAGACUUGAGUGCAGAAGAGGAAAGUGGAAUUCCAUGUGUAGCGGUGAAAUGCGUAGAGAUAUGGAGGAACACCAGUGGCGAAGGCGACUUUCUGGUCUGUAACUGACACUGAGGCGCGAAAGCGUGGGGAGCAAACAGGAUUAGAUACCCUGGUAGUCCACGCCGUAAACGAUGAGUGCUAAGUGUUAGAGGGUUUCCGCCCUUUAGUGCUGAAGUUAACGCAUUAAGCACUCCGCCUGGGGAGUACGGCCGCAAGGCUGAAACUCACAGGAAUUGACGGGGGCCCGCACACGCGGUGGAGCAUGUGGUUUAAUUCAAAUCAACGCGAAGAACCUUACCAGGUCUUGACAUC